rnacentral:piRNA from 1 species
UGUGCUUACCUCCUUGAAGUUUUAGGGAAC